UACGAAGGGGGCUAGCGUUGUUCGGAAUUACUGGGCGUAAAGCGCACGUAGGCGGAUAUUUAAGUCAGGGGUGAAAUCCCGCAGCUCAACUGCGGAACUGCCUUUGAUACUGGGUAUCUUGAGUAUGGAAGAGGUUAGUGGAAUUGCGAGUGUAGAGGUGAAAUUCGUAGAUAUUCGCAGGAACACCAGUGGCGAAGGCGGCUAACUGGUCCAUAACUGACGCUGAGGUGCGAAAGCGUGGGGAGCAAACAGGAUUAGAAACCCCCGUAGUCC
rnacentral:rRNA from 1 species